rnacentral:lncRNA from 1 species
UUCCUGUUGCGUGACCUGAAACAGCGACCAGGAAAAACCUGAAAUCUGUGGUAAUAAUGAAGACGAUGACCAAGUAAGUCGUAAACAUUGUAAGUCCAUGAAAUCCAGCCUCUUGUAAUAAGACUUUAAGGCCUGAUCUCUCUUCUUUCUUCUCAGUAAAAGGGUACAAAGAACAGAAUUCAGACAUUGAUGCAAGCAAGAAAAUCAGAGAAACAAGAAAGCAGAAGCACCAUUUAGUUUCAGAAUCAGGCAAUCCUGGGAAUUGUCUCUUUACAUAUGAAAUCCAGUAGCUUGAGCUUAAUGAGUAAUUGGUCGAGGACAUGAUAACUUUGUUUCUUGAUUUCUUUUAUCUUUUUGUGGAAGACUAUAUAUUGAUGUGGGAACUUACUAAGAAAUACUUGCCUUAUGAAAAGUAUAGUUAAGUAGAGCUUUAUAAUGUGAGUGGAGUAGUAAUUUAAAAGCAAAGCAAGAACUUCUCUGACAAACUACAUGCAUGAUUGGCAAUUAUGGCCAUCACACUCAUGAAGAGUAACUUCUACUUCUGUAAUCGUCCUAAUUAAAGGGCUUAUUGCCAUCAUACUCUCCAAUCUUUUUCAUUACAAAUUCAUGAGUUAAACUUCAG